rnacentral:lncRNA from 10 species
AAAGAAAGGAAAGAAAGAAAGAAAGAAGGAAAGAAAGAAAGAAAAAGAAAGAAAGGAAAGAAAGAAAGAAAGAAAAGAAAGAAAGAGAGAGAGAGAGAGAAAGGAAGGAAGGAAAAGAGAAAGAAAGAAAGGAAAGAAAGAAACGAAGGAAGGAAGGAAAAGAGAGAGAGAAUUGAAAUGGGAGAAAGUGUGUGAAAAUGGCUGCCCUGUGCUUGGCUCCAUAAAUAAGAGCUUUUUAAAAAUUCUUUCCCUGGAUCCUAAGUUAGAGACACAUGUCACUCCUCCCAAGGAGAGCCCGGGCGUCUUCCCAAGCCAGAAGCAGGAGGCUGUAAUUCUGCAACUUCAGCCUGAGCAGGUGGGGGGAACCUGGCAGGGCCACAGGCAAAAUCAAGGGGGGUGGCCAGAGGCAGAUGCCCAAUGCUGGCAGAAGGUGUGCAGAGCAUUGAGGGUCUGCCAAGUUACCCUUGGCAUGGACAUUGGGCGCCCAGGUCCUGGUUGGCAGCAGAGAUGUGGGCAACGAGACAGGGGGAAGGGGUCACUAAGGAGCCCAGCAUCCUUGGCUGAAUCCCCAGAUCCUGGGUCUGAAGAUCGUGACUUAAUUCCAUACCCCACCAGAUGGUGUUGCUGAGGCUUCCAUGGAGUCAGGAGGUGGGGAGAGGCGGGGAAGGCAGGGUCAACAGAGAGAGGCAGUAGCAACAGUUUCACAAAGUCAACCAGCCAAUAACACGUGCUGACAUGCUUUAUGCGCCUACCAACGUGUGUUCUAAGUGCUUUACAUGCAUCAAUUGCUAAUCUGCACGACAGCCUAUGAGGCAGCUCCUAUGACCACACCCAUUUUACAGAUGAAGAAACUGAGGCUGGCUGGGCACGGUGGCUCAGGCCUGUAAUCUCAGCACUCUGGGAGGCUGAGGUGAGCAGAUCAUUUGAGCCCAGCAGUUCGAGACCAGCCUGGCCAACAUGGUGAAACCCUGACUCUACUAAAAAUACAAAAUUAGCCAGGCACGAUGGCACAUGCCUGUAAUUCCAGCUACUCUGGAGGCUGAGGCAGAAGAACCGCUUGAACCUGGGAGGCAGAGGUUGCAGUGAGCUGAGAUCACGCACUGCACUCUAGCCUGGGCAAUAGAGUGAGAUGUCGUCUCAAAAACCAAAAACCAAAAAACAAAAAAAAAAAAAAAAGAAAGAAAGAAAAAAAGAAACUGAGGCAGAGGGAGAUUGAGUGAAUCACUUGUCUAACUUUACACAGCUAGUGGUGGAGCCAGGAUUCCAAUCAAGACAGCUUGGCACAGAGCCUUUGAUUUGGUCAUUCCUCUGUACUACAUCUUAGCAGAGCAGGCAGGUCCUAGUAAAAUUCAUUCCUCCUAAGGAAAGUCCCACACACCCUCCAGAGACCCCACACGUGGCAGGAGAACCUAGCAGCCUUCCAGACGUGCCCAGCGAAGUGGACUCAAAUCUGGCUGGUUCAAAGUUUGACCCUGGUUCCGAGACCCAGAUUCCACAAGCAGCAAAGCUUUUUGGCAGAUGGUACCAUGCCUUGAUUUCUGGCAGGAGUCCAAAAUGCAGGUCAACUUUCUGGGGAUAAUCGUUUCUACAAAUGGAUGAAAUACUGAAGACUAAAACCCCGCUUGGCAUCAUGACUGCUACACCGUGGCCUCCAGACAUACGUUGCUUGGGCAUUUGGGGCAUUUUGUAUAAAUCAAGGGAAGAAUUUUGUUCUCAAGAAUGUUAAAGCUGAA